rnacentral:rRNA from 1 species
CAGCAGCCACGGGAAUACAGAGGGUGCGAGCGUUAAUCGGAUUUACUGGGCGUAAAGCGUGCGUAGGCGGCUUUUUAAGUCGGAUGUGAAAUCCCUGAGCUUAACUUAGGAAUUGCAUUCGAUACUGGGAAGCUAGAGUAUGGGAGAGGAUGGUAGAAUUCCAGGUGUAGCGGUGAAAUGCGUAGAGAUCUGGAGGAAUACCGAUGGCGAAGGCAGCCAUCUGGCCUAAUACUGACGCUGAGGUACGAAAGCAUGGGGAGCAAACAGGAUUAGAGACCCCCGUAGUCCCUGUCUCUUAUAC